CAGCCGUAAACUAUGCGCGUUAGGUGUAUCGGUGACCACGAGUUACCGAGGUGCCGAAGGGAAACCGUGAAACGUGCCGCCUGGGAAGUACGGUCGCAAGGCUGAAACUUAAAGGAAUUGGCGGGGGAGCACCACAACAGGUGGAGCCUGCGGUUUAAUUGGAUCCAACGCCGGACAUCUCACCGGAUAAGACAGCUGAAUGAUUGUCAAUCUGAAGGUUUUACAUGACUAGCUGAGAGGUGGUGCAUGGCGUCAGUGACU
rnacentral:rRNA from 1 species